AAGACAGAUACAAACUUUCUAAGAUUUAUAUAUAUCUUUUCCAUACGGGAGAAAACAGACAUUUUUAACCCCUUUUUUCAUGUAUUUGUAGAUGUGAAUGUGCAUAACUUCAUUAUUUUUCCAAAAGAGCUCAAUUGUGAUUAUCUGCACUGUUGUUGGAGGCGAGUAUCAUAUUUGUAAAAUCAUGAGAACAAAGACAAUAAAAUUAUUGAGAUUUAUCGGAGCUGUCAUGUCAUGCUUCUUGUUUAAUUGAUUUCAUGCUUUUAUCAGUUACAGGACUGAGGGUAAGGGCUGCACAACUUAUCACAUGUAAUUCUUCUCUGACUACUGUAGUAUGGGUUUUAUGAUUCUGGUGGUGGCUUUGAAGACGCUGGGUGGUAACUCAGAGAAAGAAGGCGUCUACAAGAAAGUGGGUGACAAAGUCGUCUUCACACCAGGCUCUGCGCCUGCUUCCAUCACCAGGAUCAAGUGGACACAUGAUCAGGACAUUGCUCUGGAGUGGUCCAGACGAGAACCUUACACUUCCUGGCACUUCCGAGAUGGCUGUGAGGUGGAUACCUCCACUGGGGUCCUGAGGAUCUCAAACCUGGCUCUAAACGACAGCGGCAGCUACACGGUGGAGAUUAAUGAUGAAGUCAUGAGCACAACAGAAAUCAUUGUUAUCACCACUGUCCCUAAUCCCACUGUGUCCACAUGGUGCAACCCUGAGAUGACCUACUGUAUUCUCACUUGUGAACCCAACGUCACAGACGACGCCAAACCGAUCACCUAUUACUGGGUGACUGGUGAUAUGGUGAAACAGUCUCCAACCAAUCAGUUCAACAUCACACAGGAAAACAGAGAGCGUUUGAUAAGCUGUCAGCUGGAAAACCCAGUCAGCCAUGAAUACAGUGAAAAAAUCCUGAAUCCACUCUUAAUCAGGAAUCGGGCUUUACUGAGCUUACCAUUUGUAGGGAUUCUGGUGUUCCUGUUUGGCCUUAAUUGUUGCAAAUGCUGGUUGUUGUACCCACAGGACCCGAAGACAUCGCUCCUCCACCACCAACACUGUGAGAUAGAGCAGUGCUGGAUCAAACUGUGAUGAUGAGGAUGAAGAAGAGUUGGUGUUGCAUAAGCCACCAGCCAAAUGUCUGCCUUAACUGAUCCUGGAAACACAGGAAGACAAUAAUAUGGAGGCUUCAGAGGACCAAAAAAAAAAGAAAAAAAGAAAAGAAAAAUAUAU